CCAUUUUGGCAGUGCAGCCAGUUUUCACGUCUCUCGUUUUCUGGAGGUUGCCGUCUUGGAUUCUUAAAGAAGGGGCUUUCUACUGUCGCAACAGCCGCUUCUUCCGAGGUGAAGUUUCUUAAGAAAUCUUACAGGAUGUCUUCCUUCUCCAGCUCCAGGCAUAUCUUCCGAACACUCAUGAAGGCCCUUCAGAGCUGAUGAGGCUGAGAUCACAGACAGCAUUUGCCUGAUAUAAAAUAUGCACAGUAACACGGUCUUAAUUAGAUGUACAUGUCUCUGAAGAUAUAAAUAAAUGCUUCCUUUUUGAUAUGUCUGAUUUAAUAGCCUAAUAACAGGGGAAUGUUGCUGAAAUAUAAUUCAGAGGGUGAGGGAGAAAUUAAUAAACUCAAAUAUUUAAAGCUCAACAGCAAUUAACAGCCCAUUUAAAACAAAUUUCCCAAUUUUAAUUUUAUUUAUCCUUAUCCAACCAGGACUAAGCCUGGGGUUCAUCAUUAUUCAUUUUCAGACCUAACAGGGUGCUCUGCCCUUUGCUUGGGAGGCACUUUGAAAUUCCAUUACGCAGGGCCAGCAGACCGUGGAGCGGCCACGGCAGAGGCGGGAGAUGCAGAAGUCCCACCUGAAUGGCCGGAGGCACAGUGUUUUCCAUUUCCCUAUUUAGUUUUUCCUUCUCUCACUUCUUCAGAAAUUGGAUAUUAAUUUUGGUGCUGCAGCCUUAGCUACACACAUACAUCUGUACCCAGAAACAGACACUGUUUUCUGGAGGGUCGCCAUCCGAGAACGUCCGUGUCCGUGACCUCUGCUCAGCCGAGGCAGCACCUGAGCCCAGACCUCCUUGGUGAGCCCCUGGAGGGCCCGAAGGGAUCUCUCCCAGCUCACUUCUCUCUCUCCCAAGAACAUGGAAUUGGACUUAGAGGUGCCCACUCCCUACCGCUGCCUCGACCCAGCGGAGGCAGCUCGGGGAGCCAGAACUGAUGACUAUGCAGCUGGUACAGAGAGAGAAAUGAAAAGAACCGGAAAAAAACCCAGUCUCUGCUCUCGGCCCUGACUGCACUUCUGGCCCUUGGGGUCCAUUCAUCUGCAGAAUUCGUUCCUCUUGCUUUUUGCUGGAAGUCGUGUGGGUCAUGGUCUCUGUACCAGUGAAACACCGAAAUAGUCAUAGUGACUGAGGAGACCUUAGACGUCAUUGGCAACUCUGGAAUGUGCGCCAAGGGAGGGGACCCGGACGCGUGGCCCCCCAGCACACAGGAGGCUUCUGCACCCCUACCCUUCCUGUAGAGAAGGUAGGGGACAUGGUGGUUGUGCACUGGAUGUGACAACGGAGCAGAAACCUGCUGGAAGCCGCUCCCGGGAUCAGAGCACCACCGGCGAGCCACAGUCCUGACGUCGUAGGCUCCUGGGACUGCCAUGACAAAGGACCACAGAAAUCUCGUUUCUCACUGUUCUGGAGGGCAGAAGUCCAGUCGUGGUGUCAGCAGGGCUAUGCCCCCUCAGGGGUUCUAACCGAGCACCUCUUCUCUGCCUUGCCCCCAUCCCCGUGUGACCUCCUCCUCUUCUCUCGGUCCCUCCUCCGAGUGUCUCUUGUGAGGACGGACACCUGUCGCGGGAUGCAGGGCCCACCCUAGGAAACCAUGAUCUCAUCGCAAGAUCCUUAAUUUAACCACAUCUGCAAAGCCCCUUUUCCCAAAUAAGGUCACAUUCGCAGCUUCCUGGGGUUGGGAUGGGAACCUAUUUUUCGGGGGGCACACAUGUGUUUUGGGGGUGCCGUUGGUCAACACUGCCGAUGGUAAUGGCAGAGGGAAUGUUCAUCGCGCUUCAUGGAAUUCCUGCAACUUUCCUGUCACUUCCUGGUGAAUGUUUGUUGUUUUUCUUCUAAUUAAACUUUCUUGUGCUACAUAA